rnacentral:misc_RNA from 1 species
GAUGAAGAACGUAGCGAAAUGCGAUACGUAAUGUGAAUUGCAGAAUUCAGUGAAUCAUCGAAUCUUUGAACGCAUAUUGCGCUCUUUGGUAUUCCGAAGAGCAUGCUUGUUUGAGUAUCAGUAAACACCUCAACCUCUUCUUGAUUUUUCAAAAGGAGGGUGGACUUGAGCUAUCCCAACAACCUUUACCGGUCGGCGGGCGGCUUGAAAUGCAGGUGCAGCUGGACUUUUAUCUGAGCUAAAAGCAUAUCUAUUUAGCCUCGUCAAACAGGAUUAUUACUUUUGCUGCAGCUAACAUAAAGGAUAAUUGUCCUCUUUGCUGACUGAUGCAGGAUUUUACGACACUUUAUGUGUUGUUCAACUCGAUCUCAAAUCAAGUAAGACUACCCGCUGAACUUAAGCAUAUCAAUAAGCGGAGGA